rnacentral:rRNA from 1 species
UUUGGUUAAGUUAGAAAGGGCGCACGGUGGAUGCCUUGACACUAGGAGUCGAUGAAGGACGGGACUAACGCCGAUAUGCUUCGGGGAGCUGUAAGUAAGCUUUGAUCCGAAGAUUUCCGAAUGGGGAAACCCACCAUACGUAAUGGUAUGGUAUCCUUAUCUGAAUACAUAGGGUAAGGAAGACAGACCCAGGGAACUGAAACAUCUAAGUACCUGGAGGAAGAGAAAGCAAAUGCGAUUUCCUGAGUAGCGGCGAGCGAAACGGAACAUAGCCCAAACCAAGAGGCUUGCCUCUUGGGGGUGUAGGACAUUCUAUACGGAGUUACAAAGGAACGAGGUAGACGAAGCGACCUGGAAAGGUCCGUCGUAGAGGGUAACAACCCCGUAGUCGAAACUUCGUUCUCUCUUGAAUGUAUCCUGAGUACGGCGGAACACGUGAAAUUCCGUCGGAAUCUGGGAGGACCAUCUCCCAAGGCUAAAUACUCCCUAGUGAUCGAUAGUGAACCAGUACCGUGAGGGAAAGGUGAAAAGCACCCCGGAAGGGGAGUGAAAGAGAUCCUGAAACCGUGUGCCUACAAAUAGUCAGAGCCCGUUAACGGGUGAUGGCGUGCCUUUUGUAGAAUGAACCGGCGAGUUACGAUCCCGUGCGAGGUUAAGCUGAAGAGGCGGAGCCGCAGCGAAAGCGAGUCUGAAUAGGGCGUUUAGUACGUGGUCGUAGACCCGAAACCAGGUGAUCUACCCAUGUCCAGGGUGAAGUUCAGGUAACACUGAAUGGAGGCCCGAACCCACGCACGUUGAAAAGUGCGGGGAUGAGGUGUGGGUAGCGGAGAAAUUCCAAUCGAACCUGGAGAUAGCUGGUUCUCCCCGAAAUAGCUUUAGGGCUAGCCUUAAGUGUAAGAGUCUUGGAGGUAGAGCACUGAUUGGACUAGGGGUCCUCAUCGGAUUACCGAAUUCAGUCAAACUCCGAAUGCCAAUGACUUAUCCUUAGGAGUCAGACUGCGAGUGAUAAGAUCCGUAGUCAAAAGGGAAACAGCCCAGACCGCCAGCUAAGGUCCCAAAGUGUGUAUUAAGUGGAAAAGGAUGUGGAGUUGCUUAGACAACUAGGAUGUUGGCUUAGAAGCAGCCACCAUUUAAAGAGUGCGUAAUAGCUCACUAGUCGAGUGACUCUGCGCCGAAAAUGUACCGGGGCUAAAUACACCACCGAAGCUGCGGAUUGAUACCGAAUGGUAUCAGUGGUAGGGGAGCGUUCUAAGGACAGUGAAGUCAGACCGUAAGGACUGGUGGAGUGCUUAGAAGUGAGAAUGCCGGUAUGAGUAGCGAAAGACGGGUGAGAAUCCCGUCCACCGAAUGCCUAAGGUUUCCUGAGGAAGGCUCGUCCGCUCAGGGUUAGUCAGGACCUAAGCCGAGGCCGACAGGCGUAGGCGAUGGACAACAGGUUGAUAUUCCUGUACCACCUCUUUAUCGUUUGAGCAAUGGAGGGACGCAGAAGGAUAGAAGAAGCGUGCGAUUGGUUGUGCACGUCCAAGCAGUUAGGCUGAUAAGUAGGCAAAUCCGCUUAUCAUAAAGGCUGAGCUGUGAUGGGGAAGCUCCUUAUGGAGCGAAGUCUUUGAUUCCCCGCUGCCAAGAAAAGCUUCUAGCGAGAUAAAAGGUGCCUGUACCGCAAACCGACACAGGUAGGCGAGGAGAGAAUCCUAAGGUGUGCGAGAGAACUCUGGUUAAGGAACUCGGCAAAAUGACCCCGUAACUUCGGGAGAAGGGGUGCUUUCUUAACGGAAAGCCGCAGUGAAUAGGCCCAAGCGACUGUUUAGCAAAAACACAGCUCUCUGCGAAGCCGUAAGGCGAAGUAUAGGGGGUGACACCUGCCCGGUGCUGGAAGGUUAAGGAGAGGGGUUAGCGUAAGCGAAGCUCUGAACUGAAGCCCCAGUAAACGGCGGCCGUAACUAUAACGGUCCUAAGGUAGCGAAAUUCCUUGUCGGGUAAGUUCCGACCCGCACGAAAGGUGUAACGAUUUGGGCACUGUCUCAACCAGAGACUCGGUGAAAUUAUAGUACCUGUGAAGAUGCAGGUUACCCGCGACAGGACGGAAAGACCCCGUGGAGCUUUACUGUAGCCUGAUAUUGAAUUUUGGUACAGUUUGUACAGGAUAGGCGGGAGCCAUUGAAACCGGAGCGCUAGCUUCGGUGGAGGCGCUGGUGGGAUACCGCCCUGACUGUAUUGAAAUUCUAACCUACGGGUCUUAUCGACCCGGGAGACAGUGUCAGGUGGGCAGUUUGACUGGGGCGGUCGCCUCCUAAAGUGUAACGGAGGCGCCCAAAGGUUCCCUCAGAAUGGUUGGAAAUCAUUCGUAGAGUGCAAAGGCAUAAGGGAGCUUGACUGCGAGACCUACAAGUCGAGCAGGGACGAAAGUCGGGCUUAGUGAUCCGGUGGUUCCGCAUGGAAGGGCCAUCGCUCAACGGAUAAAAGCUACCCCGGGGAUAACAGGCUUAUCUCCCCCAAGAGUCCACAUCGACGGGGAGGUUUGGCACCUCGAUGUCGGCUCAUCGCAUCCUGGGGCUGUAGUCGGUCCCAAGGGUUGGGCUGUUCGCCCAUUAAAGCGGUACGCGAGCUGGGUUCAGAACGUCGUGAGACAGUUCGGUCCCUAUCCGUCGUGGGCGUAGGAAAUUUGAGAGGAGCUGUCCUUAGUACGAGAGGACCGGGAUGGACGCACCGCUGGUGUACCAGUUGUUCUGCCAAGGGCAUAGCUGGGUAGCUAUGUGCGGAAGGGAUAAGUGCUGAAAGCAUCUAAGCAUGAAGCCCCCCUCAAGAUGAGAUUUCCCAUAGCGUAAGCUAGUAAGAUCCCUGAAAGAUGAUCAGGUUGAUAGGUUCGAGGUGGAAGCAUGGUGACAUGUGGAGCUGACGAAUACUAAUAGAUCGAGGACUUAACCAUAUAA